rnacentral:rRNA from 1 species
UACAGAGGGGGCAAGCGUUGUUCGGAAUUAUUGGGCGUAAAGAGCGUGUAGGCGGCCAGAUAAGUCCGCUGUGAAAUCUCGAGGCUCAACUUCGAGCUGUCGGUGGAAACUAUCUGGCUAGAGUCCGGAAGAGGAGAAUGGAAUUCCUGGUGUAGCGGUGAAAUGCGCAGAUAUCAGGAAGAACACCCGUGGCGAAGGCGGUUCUCUGGGACGGUACUGACGCUGAGACGCGAAAGCGUGGGGAGCGAACAGG